AUGGAGGAUGUACCUGUGAUGUGUCUAAUAAAGAAUCAAUCGACACUACCGAGUCGCCUGUCUGUCUGUCACUCUGCUCUGCCGAGUCGCCUGUCUGUCUGUCGCUCUACCGAGUCGCCUGUCUGUCUGUCGCACUACCGAGUCGCCUGUCUGUCUGUCGCUCUGCCGAGUCGCCUGUCUGUCUGUCGCUCUGCCGAGUCGCCUGUCUGUCUGUCGCUCUGCCGAGUCGCCUGUCUGUCUGUCGCUCUGCCGAGUCGCCUGUCUGUCUGUUGCUCUACCGAGUCGCCUGUCUGUCUGUCACUCUGCUCUGUCGCCUGUCUGUCACUCUGCUCUGCCGAGUCGCCUGUCUGUCUGUCGCUCUGCCGAGUCGCCUGUCUGUCGCUCUACCGAGUCGCCUGUCUGUCUCGCUCUGCUCUGCCGAGUCGCCUGUCUGUCUGUCGCUCUACCGAGUCGCCUGUCUGUCUGUCGCUCUACCGAGUCGCCUGUCUGUCUGUCGCACUACCGAGUCGCCUGUCUGUCUGUCGCUCUGCUCUGCCGAGUCGCCUGUCUGUCGCUCUGCUCUGCCGAGUCGCCUGUCUGUCUGUCGCUCUGCCGAGUCGCCUGUCUGUCUGUCGCUCUGCCGAGUCGCCUGUCUGUCUGUUGCUCUACCGAGUCGCCUGUCUGUCUGUCGCUCUGCUCUGCCGAGUCGCCUGUCUGUCUGUCGCUCUGCUCUGCCGAGUCGUCUGUCUGUCGCUCUGCUCUGCCGAGUCGCCUGUCUCUGUCGCUCUGCUCUACCGAGUCGCCUGUCUGUCUGUUGCUCUGCCGAGUCGCCUGUCUCUGUCGCUCUGCCGAGUCGCCUGUCUGUCUGUCGCUCUGCUCUACCGAGUCGCCUGUCUGUCUGUUGCUCUGCCGAGUCGCCUGUCUGUCUGUCGCUCUGCUCUACCGAGUCGCCUGUCUGUCUGUUGCUCUGCCGAGUCGCCUGUCUCUGUCGCUCUGCCGAGUCGCCUGUCUGUCUGUCGCUCUGCUCUACCGAGUCGCCUGUCUGUCUGUUGCUCUGCCGAGUCGCCUGUCUGUCUGUCGCUCUGCUCUACCGAGUCGCCUGUCUGUCUGUCGCUCUGCCGAGUCGCCUGUCUCUGUCGCUCUGCCGAGUCGCCUGUCUGUCUGUCUGUCGCUCUGCUCUACCGAGUUGCCUGUCUGUCGCUCUACCGAGUCGCCUGUCUGUCUGUCGCUCUGCUCUACCGAGUCGCCUGUCUGUCUGUCGCUCUGCCGAGUCGCCUGUCUCUGUCUCUCUGCCGAGUCGCCUGUCUGUUGCUCUGCUCUACCGAGUCGCCUGUCUGUCUGUCGCUCUGCUCUACCGAGUCGCCUGUCUGUUGCUCUGCUCUACCGAGUCGCCUGUCUGUUGCUCUGCUCUACCGAGUCGCCUGUCUGUCGCUCUACCGAGUCGCCUGUCUGUCUGUCGCUCUACCGAGUCGCCUGUCUGUCUGUCGCUCUGCUCUACCGAGUCGCCUGUCUGUCUGUCGCUCUGCCGAGUCGCCUGUCUGUCUGUCGCUCUGCCGAGUCGCCUGUCUGUCUGUCGCUCUGCUCUACCGAGUCGCCUGUCUGUCUGUCGCUCUGCUCUGCCGAGUCGCCUGUCUGUCGCUCUGCUCUGCCGAGUCGCCUGUCUGUCGCUCUGCUCUGCCGAGUCGCCUGUCUGUCUGUCGCUCUGCCGAGUCGCCUGUCUGUCUGUCGCUCUGCCGAGUCGCCUGUCUGUCUGUCGCUCUGCUCUACCGAGUCGCCUGUCUGUCUGUCGCUCUGCUCUGCCGAGUCGCCUGUCUGUCGCUCUGCUCUGCCGAGUCGCCUGUCUGUCUGUCGCUCUGCCGAGUCGCCUGUCUGUCGCUCUGCCGAGUCGCCUGUCUGUCUGUCGCUCUGCUCUGCCGAGUCGCCUGUCUGUCUGUCGCUCUGCUCUGCCGAGUCGCCUGUCUGUCGCUCUGCUCUGCCGAGUCGCCUGUCUGUCGCUCUGCCGAGUCGCCUGUCUGUCUGUCGCUCUGCUCUGCCGAGUCGCCUGUCUGUCGCUCUGCCGAGUCGCCUGUCUGUCGCUCUACCGAGUCGCCUGUCUGUCUGUUGCUCUGCUCUGCCGAGUCGCCUGUCUGUCUGUCGCUCUGCCGAGUCGCCUGUCUGUCGCUCUGCCGAGUCGCCUGUCUGUCUGUUGCUCUGCUCUACCGAGUCGCCUGUCUGUCUGUCGCUCUGCCGAGUCGCCUGUCUGUCGCUCUGCUCUGCCGAGUCGCCUGUCUGUCUGUCGCUCUGCCGAGUCGCCUGUCUGUCUGUCGCUCUGCCGAGUCGCCUGUCUGUCUGUCGCUCUGCUCUGCCGAGUCGCCUGUCUGUCUGUCGCUCUGCUCUGCCGAGUCGCCUGUCUGUCGCUCUGCUCUGCCGAGUCGCCUGUCUGUCGCUCUGCCGAGUCGCCUGUCUGUCUGUCGCUCUGCUCUGCCGAGUCGCCUGUCUGUCGCUCUGCUCUGCCGAGUCGCCUGUCUGUCUGUCGCUCUGCCGAGUCGCCUGUCUGUCUGUCGCUCUGCCGAGUCGCCUGUCUGUCUGUCGCUCUGCUCUGCCGAGUCGCCUGUCUGUCUGUCGCUCUGCUCUGCCGAGUCGCCUGUCUGUCUGUCGCUCUGCUCUGCCGAGUCGCCUGUCUGUCUGUCGCUCUGCUCUGCCGAGUCGCCUGUCUGUCUGUCGCUAUGCUCUGCCGAGUCGCCUGUCUGUCGCUCUGCUCUGCCGAGUCGCCUGUCUGUCGCUCUGCCGAGUCGCCUGUCUGUUGCUCUACCGAGUCGCCUGUCUGUCUGUCGCUCUGCUCUGCCGAGUCGCCUGUCUGUCGCUCUGCCGAGUCGCCUGUCUGUCGCUCUACCGAGUCGCCUGUCUGUCUGUUGCUCUGCUCUGCCGAGUCGCCUGUCUGUCUGUCGCUCUGCCGAGUCGCCUGUCUGUCGCUCUGCCGAGUCGCCUGUCUGUCUGUUGCUCUGCUCUACCGAGUCGCCUGUCUGUCUGUCGCUCUGCCGAGUCGCCUGUCUGUCUGUCGCUCUGCUCUGCCGAGUCGCCUGUCUGUCUGUUGCUCUGCCCUGCCAUCCCUCCAUCUCAGGGAACUACAGAGGCCUCUCAUUGGCUCAUCUCACUUUCUGAUUCUGCAUCGUCCUGAUUUGGCUAUGGCUUACCACAGCUUCUUGCUCGAGCCAAUCAGCUGCCACUCCUGGAACAAGGACCGGACCCAGAUUGCUCUGUGUCCCAACAACCAUGAUGUCCACAUCUAUAAGAAGGACGGGACCAAGUGGACCAAGAUUCAUGAACUGAAGGAGCACAACGGACAGGUCACAGGUAUAGACUGGGCUCCAGAGAGUAACUCUAUGCCCC